AUUGAACGCUGGCGGCAGGCCUAACACAUGCAAGUCGAACGGUAACAGGAAACAGCUUGCUGUUUCGCUGACGAGUGGCGGACGGGUGAGUAAUGUCUGGGAAACUGCCUGAUGGAGGGGGAUAACUACUGGAAACGGUAGCUAAUACCGCAUAACGUCGCAAGACCAAAGAGGGGGACCUUCGGGCCUCUUGCCAUCGGAUGUGCCCAGAUGGGAUUAGCUAGUAGGUGGGAUAACGGCUCACCUAGGCGACGAUCCCUAGCUGGUCUGAGAGGAUGACCAGCCACACUGGAACUGAGACACGGUCCAGACUCCUACGGGAGGCAGCAGUGGGGAAUAUUGCACAAUGGGCGCAAGCCUGAUGCAGCCAUGCCGCGUGUAUGAAGAAGGCCUUCGGGUUGUAAAGUACUUUCAGCGGGGAGGAAGGGAGUAAAGUUAAUACCUUUACUCAUUGACGUUACCCGCAGAAGAAGCACCGGCUAACUCCGUG
rnacentral:rRNA from 1 species